rnacentral:lncRNA from 1 species
UGAAGCUUCACAACUUACAGCAGGGAGAAGCAGGCGAGGCUGCCAAGGGUCACGGAAGGAUGGUGGCUCCAUCCAUCUCAGCAGCUUCCAGAGUAGCUCGUGGAAAGCUACAGCAUCACACCCUCGACUGCAGCAUCCACAACCACUGGGUACAAAGCAGCCUCAUGGUUGCCAACAGACUGAAGUGCUCGCCUUGCUAUGGGAUAAGUGUCAUCAGCACUCUGGAGAAGCAGCCAUAGCUGCUCUCAAGUUAGUCUCUACCUCCAUCUUCCCUGGACAUAUCUACACAAGUACAUUUUAUGCAUAAUGCAUCAUUUUGGUGUGAGAAGUGUUUCACCGAUCCAAGAUACACUAUGGAUGUUCAAAGAGUCAUACCAGAAGUCCUUGAAUUUAACUCAGGAUGCAGAAGUAAGUCUCUGAGUGCAGAUGAAUCCAUGGAUUACAGUGCCUGAGUCUCACCAGGAAGAAUGUGUUUU